AGAGUUUGAUCCUGGCUCAGGACGAACGCUGGCGGCGUGCUUAACACAUGCAAGUCGAACGGUAAGGCCCUUCGGGGUACACGAGUGGCGAACGGGUGAGUAACACGUGGGUGAUCUGCCCUGCACUUUGGGAUAAGCCUGGGAAACUGGGUCUAAUACCGAAUAGGACCAUGGACUUCACGGUUUGUGGUGGAAAGCUUUUGCGGUGUGGGAUGGGCCCGCGGCCUAUCAGCUUGUUGGUGGGGUAAUGGCCUACCAAGGCGACGACGGGUAGCCGGCCUGAGAGGGUGUCCGGCCACACUGGGACUGAGAUACGGCCCAGACUCCUACGGGAGGCAGCAGUGGGGAAUAUUGCACAAUGGGCGCAAGCCUGAUGCAGCGACGCCGCGUGGGGGAUGACGGCCUUCGGGUUGUAAACCUCUUUCAAUAGGGACGAAGCGCAAGUGACGGUACCUAUAGAAGAAGCACCGGCCAACUACGUGCCAGCAGCCGCGGUAAUACGUAGGGUGCGAGCGUUGUCCGGAAUUACUGGGCGUAAAGAGCUCGUAGGUGGUUUGUCGCGUUGUCCGUGAAAUCUCACAACUCAAUUGUGAGCGUGCGGGCGAUACGGGCAGACUGGAGUACUGCAGGGGAGACUGGAAUUCCUGGUGUAGCGGUGGAAUGCGCAGAUAUCAGGAGGAACACCGGUGGCGAAGGCGGGUCUCUGGGCAGUAACUGACGCUGAGGCACGAAAGCGUGGGGAGCAAACAGGAUUAGAUACCCUGGUAGUCCACGCCCUAAACGAUGCGAACUGGAUGUUG
rnacentral:rRNA from 1 species